GACGAACGCUGGCGGCGUGCCUAAUACAUGCAAGUUGAGCGCUGAAGGUUGGUACUUGUACCGACUGGAUGAGCAGCGAACGGGUGAGUAACGCGUGGGGAAUCUGCCUUUGAGCGGGGGACAACAUUUGGAAACGAAUGCUAAUACCGCAUAAAAACUUUAAACACAAGUUUUAAGUUUGAAAGAUGCAAUUGCAUCACUCAAAGAUGAUCCCGCGUUGUAUUAGCUAGUUGGUGAGGUAAAGGCUCACCAAGGCGAUGAUACAUAGCCGACCUGAGAGGGUGGUCGGCCACAUUGGGACUGAGACACGGCCCAAACUCCUACGGGAGGCAGCAGUAGGGAAUCUUCGGCAAUGGACGAAAGUCUGACCGAGCAACGCCGCGUGAGUGAAGAAGGUUUUCGGAUCGUAAAACUCUGUUGGUAGGGAAGAACGUUGGUGAGAGUGGAAAGCUCAUCAAGUGACGGUAACUACCCAGAAAGGGACGGCUAACUACGUG
rnacentral:rRNA from 1 species